rnacentral:rRNA from 1 species
UACGUAGGGUGCAAGCGUUGUCCGGAAUUAUUGGGCGUAAAGAGCUCGUAGGCGGUUUGUCGCGUCUGCUGUGAAAACUCGGGGCUCAACUCCGAGCUUGCAGUGGGUACGGGCAGACUAGAGUGCGGUAGGGGAGACUGGAAUUCCUGGUGUAGCGGUGGAAUGCGCAGAUAUCAGGAGGAACACCGAUGGCGAAGGCAGGUCUCUGGGCCGUAACUGACGCUGAGGAGCGAAAGCAUGGGGAGCGAACAGG